CAGCCGCCGCGGGAAUACGUAGGUGGCAAGCGUUGUCCGGAAUUAUUGGGCGUAAAGGGCUCGCAGGCGGUUUCCUAAGUCUGAUGUGAAAGCCCCCGGCUCAACCGGGGAGGGUCAUUGGAAACUGGGAAACUUGAGUGCAGAAGAGGAGAGUGGAAUUCCACGUGUAGCGGUGAAAUGCGUAGAGAUGUGGAGGAACACCAGUGGCGAAGGCGACUCUCUGGUCUGUAACUGACGCUGAGGAGCGAAAGCGUGGGGAGCGAACAGGAUUAGAUACCCGCGUAGUCCCUGUCUCUUAUAC
rnacentral:rRNA from 1 species